CCAGCAGCCGCGGUAAUUCCAGCUCCAAUAGCGUAUAUUUAAGUUGUUGCAGUUAAAAAGCUCGUAGUUGGAUUUCGGGCGGGUGACGGCGGUCCGCCUCUGGUGUGCACUGCUGCUCAUCCGCCUUACUGUCGGGGACGGGCUCCUGGGCUUCACUGUCCGGGACUCGGAGUCGACGAUGCUACUUUGAGUAAAUUAGAGUGUUCAAAGCAAGCCUACGCUCUGAAUACUUUAGCAUGGAAUAUCGCGAUAGGACUCUGGCCUAUCUCGUUGGUCUGUAGGACCGGAGUAAUGAUUAAGAGGGACAGUCGGGGGCAUUCGUAUUUCAUUGUCAGAGGUGAAAUUCUUGGAUUUAUGAAAGACGAACUACUGCGAAAGCAUUUGCCAAGGAUGUUUUCA
rnacentral:rRNA from 1 species